GAGGACACUCAAUUAGCCUUGUGGAGAGACCCACAUGGGUGAGAAACUAAGGUCUGCCACCAACAGCCCACAUCCAUUGCCAGCUCUGAGAGCAAAUAGAUCCUGCAGACCUAGUCAAGCCUCAUUUGACUGACACCUCAGUCAACAUCUUGACUGCAAGCCCAUGCAAAACACUGAGCCAGAAACCACCCACCCAAGAAGCUGUGAAUUCCUGACUGGCAAAAAAUAUCUAAAGUCCUGCUUUUAAAAACACAAAGAUUUCUUCUAUAUGGAACUUGAUUGCCUUCAUUCAGUCAUCGAGAGUCUUCAGGAGAUCUGAAGACCCAGAGCAAACCAGAAAUGUUGACGGGGAAAAAUGUGCAGAAAUGUCUGAGAGUAAAC
rnacentral:lncRNA from 1 species